rnacentral:lncRNA from 1 species
UUUGCUUUGUUUAUGGUUCUUAGUGUAAGUGAAUGGAACUGGAAAUCUGAAGGGUUUGUUUUUAAUAAUGUUUAUGGGAAAAUCAGAUACAUAGCAAAAGAAAUGCAUAUUUAUUUCUGUAUAUAUUGGGAUCAGUGGCUAUCAGGGAGAACAGAAGUGAAUGUGAAUUAUGGAGUUUAGAUCCAGGAGCUUUCAGAAUUUCAUUGCAUAAGCUCACAAACUUCCCCUGUUGAUUCACAGUCCAGACUGUACCCGUCAAAUGUCAUGGGCGGUCAUGUUGGUGGAAGGAGAUGUGAUAUCUCAGGAAGCAAAGUGCAAUACCCUGAAGGGCUUUGACUAUCAAGACACUGGGCAAGCCAAAGGAAUUUGUGCUGCUGAGUAAAUGGGAUGCUGUGUUUGGAAGUUUUCAGAGCUUUCAUAGGGCAUGUGGCUCUGUUCCUAUGUGUGAUAAGCAACCAUGGUGAAACUUCAAAGUCAAACAAUGCCUGAGUGUCCUGUCUGUGUCUUACAGGGAUAGUUGUGGACUUUUGGCUGGUCAAUCACAGAUAGAGAGGAUUACCAGGGAUUUAGGAAAGGUGUGCUUCCCCUCUCCAUAAAGGCAUCACUCCACCCCGGAGGGGCCACGCUGCAGCUCCCUGCUCCUCUUAGAGCUGCUCACAGUGAACACAGUGGUGGCUGGUGCUGGAACGAGAUGCGGGACCAAAGUCACCGUAGAAGCACCAACUCUCUGGUUUGGUUACUCAGCCUGGCUCUUGCCACCAUUGGUGCUUGUCACGCACCAGGGUCUGCACGUUGGGAGAGUUUGAGGCUGGUCUAACAGGAAGAACAUCAGACAUUUGAGGAUGUGUCCUUAAGAACUGGACAAUCCUAUGUUUUCUCUUUUCUAUUUCUGACUGCUGCUGAGCUCAUGAAUACCCACCAAUGGAUAAACAGAGAGCCCUGGACCUUUUUCAUAAUUGUUUCUGGAUAUAUCCUUCCUUCAUCUUAUUCUGAACAAAACUUCUUGAAUAGCUCAUUUAAGGAGAAAACACUCGAAAAGUAUAUUAGCAAACUCUUUCAGUGGGGUAAAACCAUCAACAUGGAAAAUUCAACUUUUCAAGAGAGCCAUUAAGUGUGAUUAAACCUUUAAAAAGGGAGAACAAUGAAUGCAGCCUUGUAUUUAGCAAUUUCAUAUCUUUAAUUGUACAAAGAUUUUCUUUAAAAGCACAAGCCUGAAAGGAAGCUGAAUGUUACAGUAUUUACUGAAGGAAAGCAAUGAGAGAAGAGAAGGCCUGUUCACUAGCUAAUGGAGUGAAGCCCAGAAAUAAUGACAAAAAAAGCGAUAACGACCGCUCUCCAACACAACAUAUAUAAAAGAGGGAGCCAUAAAAAGGCAACAAUUCUUGACUUAGCUUUGAGUUUCACAAUGACUGUGAUUACAGAUAGCAAGUGGAAGAGCAUAUAUGCCAUGAUGAAAUCUCAUUGGCUUUGCAAUUGAGAUUCAAGCGAGGAAAGAAAAAAAGCAGGGACAUUGAAUUUCUGCAGAACAAAUUUUGGAUGGGGUAUGAGAAAUGGAAAGAAAGGGAGAAAGAACAAGGUCAUCAAAAAGUUCAGCAGAAAAUGAAUAUAUUCUCAUCCAUUCCAUCUAAUAAUAAACACACUAGGGGCCAGAUCCUCAGAUGAACCGAAUGCCAGUGAUGGAGCUAGCUGGUAGUUCCUGCAUAUGUGAAGAUCAAACAUGUACAUGCAUCCUGGUGUACUUUAGCCUGUGCCAUCUUGCAGCAUCUUUCAUGCACACAGAAACCUUUGACUAAUGGGAACUAGAUUAUACCAAAGAAAUAAAAAACUAAACUCAUUAACUCAUACAAUAAUUAUAUUUAUGAUACAUUUCAUGCUAGCUUAACUGUAAGUGCUACUUUAAAGAGAAAAUAUUUUGACACAUUUUAAUGACACAUUAAUUGCCAGCUUUAUUUUUCUCGAUCAGUUUUUUAAAAGGCAGUGUUAGCAUCUUAUCUUCCAUCACACAUGUACGUGUCUGACUUCAUAUAUGUAAUACUGAGAUUAUAUAUGCUUGUACUUUUUCAUGACAAGUCUAUGUUAUCUCAGUUGAAGUCUUAUGCUCUUUGGAUUUUAACGGGCAUCUUUUAAAGCCUUCCACUAGAUUUCCAAAAUACCUUAGAAGUGCAACUUCUAUUCAGUCAUUGUCUAGAAAACUACAAGAGUGAGGUUUCUUAUACUUCUUCUAGAAAAAUUAGCUUUAAAGGUGCAGAGUGCAGAAGCUAUGUAAAAAGAAUCCCCAAAGUAUUGAAACUACACUCUGACAGAUGGCAGAAGGUGCUGGUGGUCCCAGGCAGAGAGAAUGUAAUGUGACACUGCAAAACAGCAACCUAGCAGGGAGAAUGAUGACUGAGGCUUGAUUCUCUCAAGGAGAAAGGCUGAGCAGAAUCACAUUAGCUCUCUGAGGAGUUUGCCUAAACAAUUUUAUUACAGUUACUCAGAGCAAUACCAGCUGUGAGCUUGUUAUUUAACAUCAUGGUAACUUGCAUGAGCAAUGAAAUAAAAAUGAAUUGGAGAGGAAUGUAGAAGUAAUGUAAAGGUGGCAGCAUGCCUGUAGGCAUAAGAACGAUGAAGAUGGAUACCAUUUUGAAGACUGAAAAAGCUAGUGCGACUGCGAGACAAGCAUAUGAGAAACCUGAACGUCUGACGCCUACCAUGGAGCCAGUGGCUUGCCGAUGACAGCCAUAUGGGAUAUGUCCGAUAAAGGUGAUCGGUGUAAAGAAUCAAACAAAAAUGCCAUUUCAGAACAGCCAGAACUAUCUCCAAAUGCAGUUCUCAUUCAGUGAAUAGCUUCAACUAGAAAAAAGAAAACACUUGAAAAAGACAGACACGAUUCCUUUGUCAUUUCUCAUAUUGAAUCUGAGCAGGGAAUUGUGAGCCUGAUAGCUUGCUGGUAGUGGCCUAACGCUCUGCAAAACUUUGCCUCAUUUGUAUCCUUAGAGCAUUGGGCCUACAAUAAUGGUAUUAAUUCUCUUUGCACUAGUAAAGAGAUGGUACGUGUUUCCUCUUUAGACCAGCAUGUGUAUCCUGGGAUUUCCCAUCCCUUGCUGACUCAGUGUAUAUUUAAUUAUACAAUGCAAAAUAAACCUGCUUGAAGGAGAUGAAAGAGCUCUACCUCUUGCAAGAGAGCCCUAGACCUGAAACAGCAUUAGCCACAGUCCCACUCUCAGCACAGAUAUGGACUAGAGAUUUUCAGAGCCCUCUCCAACACCUUUUCUGUGCCUUUGUGAUGACAUGCUCAGUUAGGUGGGUGUUAGGCACCGCUGUUUGGUGGUUGGCACCUACCUUCCUAGAGAGGGUAAGCCUAUGCUUUAGCAUUUCUUUUCCUGUGUAGCAAUUAAAAAGAGAUGGUCCCAGAAGGAUUGUCUUAAUUUUUAAGCAUAGUAAAUGCACAACAAAUGCUGAGGCCAGGCAGCCCUGAUCUUGAAUUAGAGAAGGUGCCUGAGAUCUGAGGCUUCUUGCUUUGAGGAGUAUCUCUGCCGCCAUCAUAUUGAGUAGAUGAGCAUAGCAUUCCGAAGAGUCCUACAGGAGAGGGUCUCUAGGUCUGGCUCUUAAUUUUGGACCAUUUGUGUUUCUAAUUAUAAAGAUGACUCAAGCUGGGAUUAUGAGUCUCUGGUAGCUCUGAAAAUAAUAUCCAAAGCUGAGCCACAGUUAUCAUUAGAGGCACUGAAAAUAGUUGCAAAACAAUGUACUGAUAUUUCCUGUAGUCACACCAGCUCUGGAAAAUGUUGACAGGAGGCACCAUCACAAAACUUUUGCCUGACAAAUGAAGAAGAGGACAAUGCCUGUAAUUUAGAUUUUGUAGUCUGCCAUCAAUUAAGUUGUAUGAGAAUCACUAGACCGAAGAGGGUAUUUGCGUGGGAAAGGUGAAUGAAAAUGCUCACCAUAGACUACAUACACUGAGAUUUUGCUAAUGAAGAAAAAGUGCAAAUACAGAGUUCCACUAUCUAAAACAAAACCAAAUUAAACUUCAUUCAUUGUGCCAUAGCCCUUAACAAGGGCAAUAAUAGGCGCUUAUGCAGGAUGAUAUAUUUUGUGAUUAUUGUAAAGAAUGACAUCCUUCUAUAAAAUGAAAUUAUGAAUUGUUUCAUGAAUGCUACAUCCCUGACACUUGCAGGACUGUGCCAUUUUUUUCCACUGAAACACUUAGGCAAUUACUCUUCAUGGAUAAGACAGAAACGUCUGGAUGUACAAUGGUUUCUGCAUUAACAAAGUUGCUAUGAUUUAGUCUGCUGUUUGCAUCUACUAACCUGCAGUGACCAGAAGCCAUUAUUUCCAUCGGACACAAUGGCAACCGGAAACAUUACCCUCACAAUGCUGAAGAAUGUAAAUGCAUUAUCUCAUGACCUCCAAGGAUGUGAACAGGUCUUGAGCUGCCUGGAGAACAUGCUGUGGCACCCAACAUGGCCACACAGGAGGUCUCUGCCUGCCUCUGCUGUCCCUGAUGCCGAAGGAGGACAGGCUGUGCCGGACAAUUAUGUGAUCGUGACAAAGCCAAGUGACUCCCAGGGAUCAUCCACAAUGAUGAUGAGAGCCGGUGGGGAACACCAUGGAGGAGAAUGAAACAAUUACGAGCGUCUUUUAAAGGAAACUGUGAGAGAGAGGACUCCAGACGCUGCAGUGUGACAGCUAAACCAAGGAGCAUCGGAUGCAAUGGAAUUGCUCUACAAGCAACCUUGCCAAAGGCCCUUUUGCUGCACAAAGCUGGCUCUAUCUUUGUAUAUUGAGGGAACUAAAUCAAUGUUAAAUGCUUGGCUCUUUUCACAGGACAAUGACCAGGACCUAAGCUGCGUCCUUCCUAUUUGAUUGACACUUGAAACGUUGAGUUGGAAUCAGCCAGAGGCACUGCUACAAGCUUGAAGCCUCUGCUGGGGAUAACAACUGGUGACAUCUGCAGAAAGGCCGACAAAAGGCAGUUGAAAGCCGUGUUUGUUGCUUUCCCCUCUCAGAUCUCCUCUCUUUCAUGGAGCUCCUUACUUGCUUUAAUAUUAUGAUUCAGCACCUGGCUCUUUUGAACCUUGCUUUAAACUUCAAAAGGCGAGGUGGUAUUAACAAACAUGAAACGAAAAAGUGGCAGUAGUUUGAUUUACUGUUGUCGUCUUAUCAAGGGGGUUUUUUGUCACCAGCUGCCACUUUCUGUCAUCUUUGGAACCAUUAUCAUUUCUCUAAAAUCUAAAAGACUCCACUUAAUAACAGCUUUGAAUACAGGCAGGAUCAGUAACGUAUACAGUUCUGGGAUGACAGGGCCGUCAAAUGAAAAGAAAGAUGUUGCCAAAAAAAAAAAAAAAAUCCUUAAAGAAAAAAAAGCAAUAAAACAAAUAAAAGCCAUAGUACUUCUAAGUGACCUUGAUUUCAGAAUUAAACAAAUCAAGCACAAUUCCAUUGUUCUUUCUGGAUUAAUUCUGCACUUUCUUUGCAGUGUUUCUUUUUUGUUCUCAGGACUAAGGGAAAACAAAGCCAAGGCUUUCAGAAAACUGCUCGGCACACAACAAGCACUUGGUAUCACAUGAGUGCUGUAAGCUUCUCACUGUAAAACUGCCAGCGAUAAUUACUGGUCUCGUUUCCCCACCAUCCCAGCACAGCAACUCACAUUCAGGCUGAGCUGCCUUGCUAGUCAAAAAAACGGUCAACUCCCCUCUUAUAGUGCUGCUCCAUGCUUUCCUGCAGACCUUCCCAACAUGGUUGUGUUGGUCUUUGGGUGCCAAGGCAGAACCAAGUGCCUGGUCAAGUUUGCCCAUUGCAGCUGCUCACAUUAAGCCACAGGCAGUCAAAUAAACACAAUUUUCUAAAGUGCAAACUUACUGCACUUUCACACUUGUCGCCUUGCCAUUCUUUAUGGGAAACUCACUCUGAUCCCUUUGUUUUAUAAUGGUAUGCACAAUUAACUCAUCUGAAGGUAGAAAUUUCUCCCACUGCCUUCUAAACUCAUGGAUAAAUGAUGGACAAGCCAUCACAAGCAGUGACUUUUAAUUUGCACAAAUUGGAACCUGCACUUCUGUGCAUCUUAAUAGUUACUUCCACUUGUGCAAAAAUAGUGAAACCAACUGCAAAAACCAAAGGAUCCCCUCCACUCUCCCCAUUGAUGUGUCCUCCCUCCCCUCAGUUAUGUGUAAAUCCAGGCAAUGGGAUCCAACACGUGGUCUCCCAUUGGCCUCUUCCAGACCUGUUCAACCACAGGAAUCUGGGGGAGAUUUAUGCCAGAACAUCUUCCUAAAACAGUGAUGGAAACAACAAAAUGAAAAUAUUCAUAGAAGUGAAAGUGCUGAUGUCUUGACCAGUGAAAACACAGGAUUGCAAGACUCCAAAGUUGGUUGAUUUUUUAUGGACUGGGAUGCGACAAAACUCAUGAAAUUGAGAUGGAGAUUGCUAAAAAUACCUAUUAUCCUCUGACAGAAGCACUCACUGUAUAACGAUAAUGAGGUUUUUUCACAGAGCAUGUCCAGAUUUGAAAGUUUAGUCAUUUUAACAAGUGUUAAUUACUGCAUGCUAACCAGCAGAAGUGUGUGGGGGAGAUGUUUUAUAUUUAUUUGUUCCAGACUUGGAACAUAUUAGAAAGCAGGCUCCCUUCCAGGUUACUGUGGUAUGAAUGAAUACGUUACCCAACUACAAAUGAAAAAUACUGCAAGAAGAAAUAAGGACUUUUCCCCAGCAUAUUUCUUUGAAGAGAAGACCGAGAAUAUGUUUAGUCUAUUACAUCAAGUGGAAAUCUUAGCCUGACCCUACUAAAAGUGCGUGUAGCACACAGAUACCAGAGCAGUGUGUCUGUGGGAGGUACUUUUAGGUUUAUCCAUGAAAAAAUGAGAUAUUCUGAAAGAAAGAACAUACAUGGGAAAUUAUCGG